UACGUAGGGUGCGAGCGUUAAUCGGAAUUACUGGGCGUAAAGCGUGCGCAGGCGGAUUGUUAAGCAAGAUGUGAAAUCCCCGGGCUUAACCUGGGAAUGGCAUUUUGAACUGGCAAUCUAGAGUGUGGCAGAGGGAGGUAGAAUUCCACGUGUAGCAGUGAAAUGCGUAGAGAUGUGGAGGAAUACCGAUGGCGAAGGCAGCCUCCUGGGAUAACACUGACGCUCAUGUACGAAAGCGUGGGUAGCAAACAGG
rnacentral:rRNA from 1 species